rnacentral:rRNA from 1 species
GUUACUGCUAUCGGUGUUCCCUAAGCCAUGCGAGUCAUAUGUUCUUCGUGAACAUGGCGUACUGCUCAGUAACACGUGGAUAACCUGCCCUUGGGUCCGGCAUAACCCCGGGAAACUGGGGAUAAUUCCGGAUAACGCACAUAUGCUGGAAUGCUUUAUGCGUCAAAUGGAUUCGUCCGCCCAAGGAUGGGUCUGCGGCCUAUCAGGUAGUAGUGGGUGUAAUGUACCUACUAGCCUACGACGGGUACGGGUUGUGAGAGCAAGAGCCCGGAGAUGGAUUCUGAGACAUGAAUCCAGGCCCUACGGGGCGCAGCAGGCGCGAAAACUUUACAAUGCGGGAAACCGUGAUAAGGGGACACCGAGUGCCAGCAUCAUAUGCUGGCUGUCCGGGUGUGUAAAAUACACCUGUUAGCAAGGGCCGGGAAAGACCGGUGCCAGCCGCCGCGGUAACACCGGCGGCCCGAGUGGUGAUCGUGAUUAUUGGGUCUAAAGGGUCCGUAGCCGGUUUGGUCAGUCCUCCGGGAAAUCUGACGGCUUAAUCGUUAUGCUUUCGGGGGAUACUGCCCGACUUGGAACCGUGAGAGGUAAGAGAUACUACACGGGGUAUGAGUGAAAUCUUGUCAUCCCUGUGGGACCACCCUGUGGGGAAGCGUCUUACCAAAACGGGUUCUACGGUGAGGGACGAAAUCUGGGGGGCACGAACCGUAUUAUAUACUCCGGGUAGUCCCACCCGUAACGAUGCUCGCUAUGUUGCCAGGCUUGCCGCGACCGUGUCUGAUGCCGCAGGGGAA